rnacentral:lncRNA from 1 species
AACAUACUUAUGAAGCCAAUUAGGCUCCACUCCUGUGAACAUUUUGAAGGCAACUGCACCAUGUUGACUGAGGCUCUGUUAUGUUGAAUAAUUGCCACUAAUUCAUUGUAUUGUUCCUUGGUCAGGAUGUGAUGCUCUUCCCCUCUAGACUCCUCACUUGUGCUACUAGAAGAUACCUUAUUCACAUUAGGCUAUCUGCCCUCGUGGUUUGUAACCCUUCACUUGAGUUUUCACCCUGUAGCAUUCCACUAUUGUGUUUCCAAGAGAAUAUUACAGUUAGAACAUACAACUCUGUUUGGAUUUACUUUAAAACAUCUUUCUAAAGAAUGUCCACUCAUCUUGUAAUGUGUGCAAUAAUAUUUUUUCUUAUCAGGGCUUGAAGUCUCAUUUUCUUGUCCAUUUACCUUAUCAUAAAAGCCAUGGCCCUAUUGGCCACAUAAUUCACAAAAAUUUCUCUCCUCUUCUUCUCUUGUUGCACAACGAAAAAGGCAUCAUCCACCUGAGGAAAUGACUCAUCAUUAGAAUUUGUGUAGUGAUAUCUUUGUAGGAUUCAUCGAGGCCCAUCAAGAACUUUAUUUUGUAAUCACUUUCCUGGUCCUCAAUGAUGGGUUUCACACCCCCACAAGUGUAUGGAUGGACUGAUAGUUUAAAAACUCUUCAAUUUGGCUCUUCAGCCUUGAGAAACACAUUCUUACUGGUUUUUUAUUUUGUGUAAUUCUUGCCAUGGAUUGUUUGACCUGAUACACUCUUAGUGCAUUUCAUCGAGAGAAUCUUUUCUCCAAAUCAACUCAUAAUUUAUAUGUUGUUUCAGCAUAAAAUGUAUUAGCUCUGAUGUCAUGGACUAACAACAUAUUGUAUGUAGGUGAUUAUGAUGUUAUUACACUGUUCCCAAUGUUUGUUUUAUGGAUCCGUUGGAUCUUUUAGUUUGGUUAAAGUUCCAUAUAUGACCUUACCUUAUUUUCUACACUCAAAGCUCAUUGCAUAGAUCUUGCCCAAGUUUGAUAAUUGUUUCCAUCAAGUAAAUAUGGGGCCAAAAUAGUGGUCAAGUUUAUGGAUCUAUCUAGGUAAUAUUGGUUGUUGAAGUACGGAUCAAAAUUCAUUUGUUCUAAAGUCCGAAGGGUUUGAUAUGUUGUGACAUCCUAAAUAUUGAAUUAUAGCAU